ensembl:lncRNA
CUCUCACUGGAGAUCCCUGUCUCCCAGAGGUCUUCUGAACAGAAACAAUUUCUGACUUUACCCAUCUCCUCCAUGGAUGGUGAGCAUGAGUGUGGGAUUAGGAUGGCGUGCUUGUGAGCUCCCUUUGUGUGUCAACCUGAGCUGCAGCAUCUUUUUUUGGCUGAGCUCCUCCAGCACUGGCUGCCUGCCCGUUGCAGGCUGUCUCUGGGCAGGUUUGAGCAUCCCCUGUAAAAUAAUUUGGACCUUCAGCUUCCAGAAAUGUCGGCAGCAUCCUGAGGAUGACGUGAAGGUGACCAGCUGUUGGUUGAGUAGUGCAGAGACCUUUGGAGAACCAUACGUGUUCAGCUGGGGAUGAAGGGCUAAAUUCAGACCAUUUGUGCUCUUGGCAUGAUACUCACCCUCAUCAGCGCUGUGUUUGCUUUAGAAGUCUGACUUAGCUGGCAUGUCUCCGUCAUUGGCUAAUGAGGAUUAAUUCUGAUUCUCUUCAGGCUUCAGAGAAACAGAUUGUGGAGGGGCUUUCAUCACAGGGGGAAUUAAAGAAGCUAGCAAAGUAUCUUAACCCAAACCACGCCACUGAUGGCUUUCAGUCAGAAAGGAGGACAGAUGAGAUUAACCUCAAAACCCCUCUGCUUCCUUGUGGGGACUAUAAACCUCAGUGCCAAGUGAGAGAAGAAUGCAGGAAAAGAAUCGUUUUAAUGUGGAUGUGUAAGAAACUGGACCACCAAGUCCAUUCCACAUUGGCCACUGAGCAGUCAUCAGAGGGUGUUGACUUUUGACCACUACUGUUUUUGUUAACAAGGAAAAUAAAACCAUAUGUUGC